CAAUAGCGUAUAUUAAAGUUGUUGCAGUUAAAAAGCUCGUAGUUGGAUUUCUGGUGGGAGCACGGGUCGGCCCUCACGGGUUGUACUGUUGUUGCGUCCCGCCGUUUCGGAGGGAAUGGUCUCGCUAUUAAGUUAGCGUGAUCGGGAACUCUGUCGUUUACUGUGAAAAAUUAGAGUGUUCAAAGCAGGCCUUCGCUGUGAAUACAUUAGCAUGGAAUAAUAAGAUAGGACUGUAGUGCUAUUUUGUUGGUUUGCGUACUAUGGUAAUGAUUAAUAGGGAUAGUCGGGGGCAUUAGUACUUAACUGUCAGAGGUGAAAUUCUCCGAUUUGUUAAAGACUAACUUAUGCGAAAGCAUUUGCCAAGGAUGUUUUCAUUAAUCAAGAACGAAAGUUAGGGGAUCAAAGACGAUUAGAUACCAU
rnacentral:rRNA from 1 species